rnacentral:rRNA from 1 species
GAUGCAUGUUCAGUGAAAUCGAGUAGGGCGGGACACGUGUUAUCCUGUCUGAAUAUGGGGGGACCAUCCUCCAAGGCUAAAUACUCCUGACUGACCGAUAGUGAACCAGUACCGUGAGGGAAAGGCGAAAAGAACCCCUGUGAGGGGAGUGAAAUAGAACCUGAAACCGUGUACGUACAAGCAGUAGGAGCACCUUCGUGGUGUGACUGCGUACCUUUUGUAUAAUGGGUCAGCGACUUAUAUUCAGUGGCAAGGUUAACCAUCUAGGGGAGCCGUAGGGAAACCGAGUCUUAACUGGGCGCCAUAGUCUCUGGAUAUAGACCCGAAACCGAGUGAUCUAGCCAUGGGCAGGUUGAAGGUUGAGUAACAUCAACUGGAGGACCGAACCGACUAAUGUUGAAAAAUUAGCGGAUGACUUGUGGCUAGGGGUGAAAGGCCAAUCAAACUCGGAGAUAGCUGGUUCUCCCCGAAAGCUAUUUAGGUAGCGCCUCGGACGAAUACUACUGGGGGUAGAGCACUGUUAAGGCUAGGGGGUCAUCCCGACUUACCAACCCUUUGCAAACUCCGAAUACCAGUAAGUACUAUCCGGGAGACACACGGCGGGUGCUAACGUCCGUCGUGGAGAGGGAAACAACCCAGACCGCCAGCUAAGGUCCCAAAUUACAGCUAAGUGGGAAACGAUGUGGGAAGGCUUAGACAGCUAGGAUGUUGGCUUAGAAGCAGCCAUCAUUUAAAGAAAGCGUAAUAGCUCACUAGUCGAGUCGGCCUGCGCGGAAGAUGUAACGGGGCUAAGUUGUAAACCGAAGCUGCGGCAAUGUUCUUUGAACAUUGGGUAGGGGAGCGUUCUGUAAGCCGUUGAAGGUGUGUUGUAAAGCAUGCUGGAGGUAUCAGAAGUGCGAAUGCUGACAUGAGUAACGACAAGGGGGGUGAAAAACCUCCCCGCCGGAAGACCAAGGGUUCCUGUCCAACGUUAAUCGGGGCAGGGUAAGUCGACCCCUAAGGCGAGGCCGAAAGGCGUAGUCGAUGGGAAACGGGUUAAUAUUCCCGUACUUCUUACAAUUGCGAUGGGGGGACGGAGAAGGCUAGGUGGGCCUGGCGACGGUUGUCCAGGUUCAAGUGCGUAGGCUGAGUGUUUAGGUAAAUCCGGAUACUCUUAAGGCUGAGACACGACGUCGAGCUACUACGGUAGUGAAGUCAUUGAUGCCAUGCUUCCAGGAAAAGCCUCUAAGCUUCAGAUUGUAAGGAAUCGUACCCCAAACCGACACAGGUGGUCGGGUAGAGAAUACCAAGGCGCUUGAGAGAACUCGGGUGAAGGAACUAGGCAAAAUGGUACCGUAACUUCGGGAGAAGGUACGCUCUUGAUGGUGAAGUCCCUUGCGGAUGGAGCUGACGAGAGUCGCAGAUACCAGGUGGCUGCAACUGUUUAUUAAAAACACAGCACUGUGCAAAAUCGUAAGAUGACGUAUACGGUGUGACGCCUGCCCGGUGCCGGAAGGUUAAUUGAUGGGGUUAGCGUAAGCGAAGCUCUUGAUCGAAGCCCCGGUAAACGGCGGCCGUAACUAUAACGGUCCUAAGGUAGCGAAAUUCCUUGUCGGGUAAGUUCCGACCUGCACGAAUGGCGUAAUGAUGGCCACGCUGUCUCCACCCGAGACUCAGUGAAAUUGAAAUCGCUGUGAAGAUGCAGUGUACCCGCGGCUAGACGGAAAGACCCCGUGAACCUUUACUACAGCUUGGCACUGAACAUUGAACCUACAUGUGUAGGAUAGGUGGGAGGCUUUGAAGACGUGACGC